GCCUAAGGUGGCCCCAGAAAGCACAAACGGGUCGGGCGGAUCUGCCGCUGGCGCCGGCGCAGCCCUUCCCACGUGCUCCUUCCGGCUGAUUUAUUUCUCCACCACGAUGCCAGGCACGGGCACCCUGUGCCAAGCCUGGUUAAGCGCCAGGAGUCCAAAAUGCCUGCCAUAGUCCCUGCGCAAAGUUCACGGCCUCGUGCCAGGGACAGACAGCGCCCCCUCCCCACCCCAACACAGGGUGAGAAGAGAGUGGCCCAUUCGGUGUCCACCCGUCAGGCCACCCAGCAGCCAGGCACGCUCAUAAGCCCGCGUUACGGAUGGUGCGGCCGGGUGCACAGGCCCGAGGGAAGCACAGGCCUCGGCCUCCCAGCUCCCAACCCCUGCACCACCCACAGCCGGGAGUACCCCAUGGACAGCUGUGGCCGAGGAGAAGCCAGGGAUGAGGGGGAUGGGCCUCACCUCCCCACCAGCCUGGGAAGGGGGUAGGCCCCUGGCAAGUAGGUGAGAAGCUUUUUCAUUCACAAGUUGUCCGGGCUCCCCAUUCCUCUUUGUCAGGCCAGCGGGUGUGGGCAGUCGGGGGAGGCUGGGGUCCUGACACAACAGGAGUACAUCUGCUGGCCUAGGGCCUGGAGACCUUCUCCUACAGGUCGGGAGGCAGCCCUGGGCAGCGGGCAUUGCGGGGACUAAAGAGAAACAAGAGCAGGUUGUGUGCAGGGCACCCCAGCCACUCCAGAAACCCAAUGGGAGGGUGGGGGCUAGGACCCCAAGAAGCUGAAUUGGGGUGCAGUGCCGCCAGGCCUCCCCUGUAGGAGUCACUUUGGGCUUCCUGUCCCAACUUGUGGUGGGAGCUGGGGCAAGGUUCCAGGGGUACCCCGAAUGAAUGGGGCUGUUCCCAAGCUGGCCAGGGAGCCUGGAAGCAGAUGAGAUGGGGCCGCAGAGCCUGGUUUGCGGAGGGGAGAGGCAGACGUGUCCUGCAGCCCUCUCUUCUUCAGAGGCCCCCUGCGGGUGCUGAGGGGAGAGUGGCUUAGGCGUUGCACCCCAGGAGACUGAACUGGGUCAGUUCCCCCUUGUUUGCUGCCAGAGAAAUGGGGGUACCAUUGUCAGGGUGAGCUAAGGAGGCCCUGCUGACAUUGGCCCAACCAGGCCCCUCCUUUGCGGCUGCUGUGGGGACUUUCGAGAGCAGAGCACACCCCUAAGUGCGUGGAGAGGUAAGCACAGCUGGUGAGCACACGGGGACAGCGACGGAGCUCAUGGAGACCCAGGUGACCUUAAAACACCCCAGGGCCGGCUCCGGCCCCAGAGAGAUGUGGUCCGAGUAGAGGGGGGUCAGCAGUGACCUGGUGGGUGGGUGUAUUUGAGGGGUGCCUGUGUUGAAAGCUCUGCAGUAGAUUCUAAGGAGCAGCCAGGGCUGAGACUCCCGGUGCUGAGCCCAAGGCCCCUUUCCUUCCUGCAGGAGUUCAUCUUGGCUCUUGCAGCCCCCAUGACCCUGUGGCGCUGGGGGGCGGCUAGCAUGAUGCUCCCCAUUUUUCAGGAGGGAAGCUGAGGCUCAGAGACAUCAUGAGGAUGCCAGCUCAAGGCCCAGCCAGGCCUUGGUCCUCAGCUGCUGUCAUCCAGUAGGGUAAGUGGGACCCCCAGGAGGUGUUGGGGGACACUCCUCCCCUCCCCCACACUCACAGUCUGUUCACCGCCCAAGGCAGCAGGCUGGACUCGGUGCAGGGACCAUGGCUUGGCGUGGCCAGGUUGGAGUGGCCCCUG
rnacentral:lncRNA from 10 species